GAGUUUGAUCAUGGCUCAGAACGAACGCUGGCGGCAGGCUUAACACAUGCAAGUCGAACGCCCCGCAAGGGGAGUGGCAGACGGGUGAGUAACGCGUGGGAACGUGCCUUUCGGUUCGGAAUAGGCCGGGGAAACUCGGGUUAAUACCGGAUACGCCCUUCGGGGGAAAGAUUUAUCGCCGAAAGAUCGGCCCGCGUCUGAUUAGCUAGUUGGCGGUGUAAUGGACCACCAAGGCGACGAUCAGUAGCUGGUCUGAGAGGAUGAUCAGCCACACUGGGACUGAGACACGGCCCAGACUCCUACGGGAGGCAGCAGUGGGGAAUAUUGGACAAUGGGCGCAAGCCUGAUCCAGCCAUGCCGCGUGAGUGAUGAAGGCCUUAGGGUUGUAAAGCUCUUUCGACGGGGACGAUAAUGACGGUACCCGUAGAAGAAGCCCCGGCUAACUUCGUGCCAGCAGCCGCGGUAAUACGAAGGGGGCUAGCGUUGUUCGGAAUCACUGGGCGUAAAGCGCACGCAGGCGGAUCGCUAAGUCAGGGGUGAAAUCCCGAGGCUCAACCUCGGAACUGCCUUUGAUACUGGCGAUU
rnacentral:rRNA from 1 species